rnacentral:rRNA from 1 species
AGUUGGUGGAGUGAUUUGUCUGGUUAAUUCCGUUAACGAACGAGACCUCAGCCUGCUAAAUAGUAUAUGUUUUCUCACGAAAGCAUAAGACUUCUUAGAGGGACAUUUCGGUUUUACCGGAAGGAAGUUUGAGGCAAUAACAGG